rnacentral:rRNA from 1 species
AAUACGAAGGGACCUAGCGUAGUUCGGAAUUACUGGGCUUAAAGAGUUCGUAGGUGGUUGAAAAAGUUGGUGGUGAAAUCCCAGAGCUUAACUCUGGAACUGCCAUCAAAACUUUUCAGCUAGAGUAUGAUAGAGGAAAGCAGAAUUUCUAGUGUAGAGGUGAAAUUCGUAGAUAUUAGAAAGAAUACCAAUUGCGAAGGCAGCUUUCUGGAUCAUUACUGACACUGAGGAACGAAAGCAUGGGUAGCGAAGAGGAUUAGAUACCCUCGUAGUCCAUGCCGUAAACGAUGUGUGUUAGACGUUGGAAAUUUAUUUUCAGUGUCGCAGCGAAAGCGAUAAACACACCGCCUGGGGAGUACGACCGCAAGGUUAAAACUCAAAUGAAUUGACGGGGACCCGCACAAGUAGUGGAGCAUGUGGUUUAAUUCGAAGAUACGCGCAGAACCUUACCAACACUUGACAUGUUCGCCGCGACUUUAAGAGAUUAAAGUUUUCGGUUCGGCCGGACGAAACACAGGUGCUGCAUGGCUGUCGUCAGCUCGUGUCGUGAGAUGUUGGGUUAAGUCCCGCAACGAGCGCAACCCUCACUUUUAGUUGCCAUCAUUAAGUUGGGCACUCUGAAAGAACUGCCAGUGAUAAGCUGGAGGAAGGUGGGGAUGACGUCAAGUCCUCAUGGCCCUUACGUGUUGGGCUACACACGUGCUACAAUGGUAUCUACAACAGGAAGCAAGACGGCGACGUUAAGCAAAUCCUUAAAAGAUACCUCAGUUCGGAUUGCACUCUGCAACUCGAGUGCAUGAAGCUGGAAUUACUAGUAAUCGUGGAUCAGCGUGCCACGGUGAAUGCGUUCCCGGGUCUUGUACACACCGCCCGUCACACCAUGGGAGUUGGUUCUACCUUAAGGCAAGGCAUAAAACCCUUGACCACGGUAUAGUCAGCGACUGG